rnacentral:rRNA from 1 species
UACGGAGGAUCCAAGCGUUAUCCGGAUUUAUUGGGUUUAAAGGGUGCGUAGGCGGAUUGAUAAGUUAGAGGUGAAAUGUCCGAGCUCAACUCGGGAACUGCCUCUAAUACUGUUGAUCUAGAGAGUAGAUGCGGUAGGCGGAAUGUAUGGUGUAGCGGUGAAAUGCAUAGAUAUCACGCAGAACCCCGAUUGCGAAGGCAGCCUGCCAAGCCAUGACUGACGCUGAUGCACGAAAGCGUGGGGAUCGAACAGG